rnacentral:rRNA from 1 species
GACGAACGCUGGCGGCGUGCCUAAUACAUGCAAGUCGAACGCUGAAGGAGGAGCUUGCUUCUCUGGAUGAGUUGCGAACGGGUGAGUAACGCGUAGGUAACCUACCUGGUAGCGGGGGAUAACUAUUGGAAACGAUAGCUAAUACCGCAUAAGAGUAGAUGUCGCAUGACAUUUGCUUAAAAGGUGCAAUUGCAUCACUACCAGAUGGACCUGCGUUGUAUUAGCUAGUUGGUGAGGUAACGGCUCACCAAGGCAACGAUACAUAGCCGACCUGAGAGGGUGAUCGGCCACACUGGGACUGAGACACGGCCCAGACUCCUACGGGAGGCAGCAGUAGGGAAUCUUCGGCAAUGGACGGAAGUCUGACCGAGCAACGCCGCGUGAGUGAAGAAGGUUUUCGGAUCGUAAAGCUCUGUUGUAAGAGAAGAACGAGUGUGAGAGUGGAAAGUUCACACUGUGACGGUAUCUUACCAGAAAGAGACGGCUAACUACGUG